UCUGCCCUAUUACGUGUCAGUAAGUUAACCUCCUCGACACGGUUCAUUUUUACGGCGGCUCAGUUUUGUCUUAAUAAGAAUAAACAUAAUUGAUAAGUUUCUUUCCCCUGCAUUUCUCGAUCGCACUUGUAAAUAGCACAUUGGUCUCAAGACAUUGGUUACAACACUUGCCGUCAGUACUCAAAAUUGGAAAAAUAUUAAAUAAGAAGGUUGCCAGCAAGAUGAAAAGAACAAUGCAGUUCAAAAGUCAAAAUGUGGAUAAGCUGCGGUACAAGGUCCUACUUUUGCAGAUUUUCAUAUUUUGCAUGAAUGAAUUUGAAGUUUAUAUCAUGGAGGGCAGAGAAAGAAAAGAAACACUUCAGUUUUCCUGCUUCUGAAGGAUAAAUGUAAAACAUCUUGUUUGAAGGAUUGAAAUUCAUCACUGAGAAUAAAAGGAGAAAACACAGAAACAAGACCAAAAUAAAUUCAAAAUCAAAAG